rnacentral:rRNA from 1 species
UGGGGGAUUUUGCACAAUGGGCGCAAGCCUGAUGCAGCGACGCCGCGUGAGGGAUGAAGGCCUUCGGGUUGUAAACCUCUUUCGCUGGGUUGAAAGGCCAUGCUUUGGGUGUGGUUGAUUUGAACUGGUAAAGAAGUACCGGCUAACUACGUGCCAGCAGCCGCGGUAAUACGUAGGGUACUAGCGUUGUCCGGAUUUAUUGGGCGUAAAGGGCUUGUAGGUGGUUUGUCGCGUCUGUCGUGAAAUCCUGUGGCUUAACCAUGGGCUUGCGGUGGGUACGGGCAGGCUUGAGUGCAGUAGGGGAGACUGGAAUUCCUGGUGUAGCGGUGGAAUGCGCAGAUAUCAGGAGGAACACCGGUGGCGAAGGCGGGUCUCUGGGCCGUUACUGACACUGAGGAGCGAAAGCGUGGGGAGCGAACAGG